rnacentral:tRNA from 1 species
UUUAGGGAGACCUACCCAACUUCAAAUCCGAAAGCAAAAAGCAAAUAGGAAAGAAGAUGGUCAUUCCUAGGUCGGUCUACUUCAAGUAAAGGCUUUCAAACUAUAAAAGGGUUCGGAUACGGGCUAUUAGCUCAGGUGGUUAGAGCGCACCCCUGAUAAGGGUGAGGUCCCUGGUUCGAGUCCAGGAUGGCCCACCUGAAGCAAGUCAAAAUUAAAAACCGAAGGGUUUGAAAUUUUGAGUUGUUAGAUGGGGGUUUAGCUCAGUUGGUAGAGCGCCUGCUUUGCAAGCAGGAUGUCAGCGGUUCGAGUCCGCUAACCUCCACAUGUGAGUAAAUUGGAAGUGAACAAAGUCUAAUCUUAAACAAAGAUGUUUAGGGGUUUAGAUUGCGAUAACUUUCAAUAAUAGUCAUAAGAUGAAAGAUAGUGAGUUUGUCUAGCAACUGAUAAAGUCAGACUGCUGGAAAACUCCAGCCAGAACCUUGAAAACUGCAUAUUGACGCGAAAGAUGAAAGUAGGUAGUCAAAAAUCGUGAAGUUUUGAGCGAAAGCGAAGAACAGAAUGAGAAAUGACACAGACACCAAUAGUAAAAGU